rnacentral:rRNA from 1 species
GAUGAACGCUGGCGGCGUGCCUAAUACAUGCAAGUCGAGCGAAAAGACGCGGCGCUUGCUCCUUUCUCGUUAGCGGCGGGCGGGUGAGUCACACGUGGAUAACCUCCCUAUAUUACUGGGAUCACUUCGGGACUCCGGCGCUAAUCCGGGAGAAUAUAUUGAACCGUAUUGUUCAAUAGUGAAAGACGGUUUUGCUGUCACUUCUCGCUGGUUCCGCGCCGCAUUAGCUAGUUGGUACGGUAACGGCUUACCAAGGCAACGAUGCGUAUCCGACCUGAGAGAGUGAUCGGCCACACGGGAGCUGAGACACGGUCCAGACUCCUACGAGAGGCAGCAGUAGGGAAUCUGCCGCAGUGGGCGAAAGCCUUACGGAACAACGCCAAGUGAGAGAUGAAGGUCUUGGGAGCGGAAAACUCGGUUAUGAGUUAUGAACAGAUGUGGAAGGUACCAUGCACUGCGUGACGGUACCUAGUCAGAAAGCCACGGCUAACUACGUG